AACGAACGCUGGCGGCAUGCCUAACACAUGCAAGUCGAACGAGACCUUCGGGUCUAGUGGCGCACGGGUGCGUAACGCGUGGGAACCUGCCCUUAGGUUCGGAAUAACUCCCCGAAAGGGGUGCUAAUACCGGAUAAUGUCUUCGGACCAAAGAUUUAUCGCCUUUGGAUGGGCCCGCGUUGGAUUAGCUAGUUGGUAGGGUAAAAGCCUACCAAGGCGACGAUCCAUAGCUGGUCUGAGAGGAUGAUCAGCCACACUGGGACUGAGACACGGCCCAGACUCCUACGGGAAGCAGCAGUGGGGAAUAUUGGACAAUGGGCGGAAGCCUGAUCCAGCAAUGCCGCGUGAGUGAUGAAGGCCUUAGGGUUGUAAAGCUCUUUUACCCGGGAUGAUAAUGACAGUACCGGGAGAAUAAGCGCCGGCUAACUCCGUG
rnacentral:rRNA from 1 species